rnacentral:rRNA from 1 species
CCCGCAGCACAAGUGGUGGUCAUUAUUAUUGGGCCUAAAGCGUCCGUAGCUGGCUUGUUAGAUGCCUGGGUAAAUCGAUGCGCUCAACGUAUCGAACUCCGGGUAGACCGGCAAGCUUGGGACCGGGAGAGGCGUGAGCUACUCGAGGGGUAGGGGUAAAAUCCUGUAAUCCUUCGGGGAGGACCAGUGGCGAAGGCGUCACGCUAGAACGGCUCCGACAGUGAGGGACGAAGCCCUGGGGCGCAAACCGGAUUAGAUACCCGGGUAGUCCAGGGUGUAAACGCUGCAGACUUGGUGUCGGUGAUCCUACGAGGGUUGCCGGUGCCGUAGAGAAGUUGUUUAGACUGCCGCCUGGGGAGUACGGUCGCAAGACUG